GAUCCUGGUUAAGGAUGAACGCUAGCUACAGGCUUAACACAUGCAAGUCGAGGGGGCAGCAUGAACUUAGCUUGCUAAGUUUGAUGGCGACCGGCGCACGGGUGAGUAACACGUAUCCAACCUGCCGAUGACUCGGGGGAUAGCCUUUCGAAAGAAAGAUUAAUACCCGAUGGCAUAGUUCUUCCGCAUGGUAGAACUAUUAAAGGAUUUCGGUCAUCGAUGGGGGAUGCGUUCCAUUAGGUUGUUGGCGGGG
rnacentral:rRNA from 1 species